GCCUGGGGGGUCAGCAGCUACUGCCCUGUUUUGGCUGUUAGCGUGCUGGACUCUGCGGACAUAGAGGUCACAGACAGUCGCCUGCCUCAUGCCACUAUUGUGGAUCACCGGCCCCAGGUACCAUCUCAUCCUUCUAUCGGAGGCCACCUGCCUCAGGGCAAACUAUGUACACCUGUGUCCUUUAUUCCAGCACCGUUGGUUAGAGACAUGUAACGCGCCUCCCCAAGUGAUCCAGGGUAAGGCACGUAGUGCUCCGAAGCCAUCUCAGGCCUCUGGUUAUUUCUCUGUGGAGCUGGUCCGCGGUUACGCAGGCUUUGGCCUCACCUUAGGUGGGGGCCGGGAUGUAGCUGGGGACACUCCGCUGGCCGUGCGCGGGCUGCUGAAGGAUGGCCCAGCACAGCGCUGUGGUCGUUUGGAGGUCGGGGACCUCGUGCUCCACAUCAACGGAGAGUCAACGCAGGGCCUCACCCAUGCCCAGGCUGUGGAACGGAUCCGAGCUGGAGGCCCCCAGCUCCACCUGGUUAUUCGUCGGCCUCUGGAGACCCACCCUGGCAAGCCUCGAGGGGUGGGAGAGCCCCAAAAAGGAGUUGAUCGCAGCCCAGAUCCUGGAGGGCCGGAGGUAACGGGGUCUCGCAGCAGCAGCACUUCCCUAGUUCAGCACCCUUCAUCCCGGACGACGCUCAAGAAGACCCGGGGCAGCCCGGAGCCUAGUCCA
rnacentral:sRNA from 1 species